UAACCAAAAAAACAAUAUUCUUUAGCAAACAUGAAUAAAGUUUUAUUCAUUCUACAUGGGUAAAUAUGCAAGAUAUAACAUGUAACUACAUCAGUUAAGGAGCUUUCAAAGUUUUGACAAAGCAUGGCUAGCAGUGAUUGUGUUCAGCUAGGGGUCACUCUCGACUGGAUACAGUGAUAUUUAUGUUCUCAUAAAUCCUGUCUAACUGUGUGGUGCUUCACAGCCAUAAAGAAUACUUCCACUGUGAUAUUUUUUAAUAAGCCUGUAGCCUGUCUAACAUCAGUGUAACACUAUCACACAGGAUGUCUAUUAAUAGUUCCCUGUACAGCAGUGGUAAUCAAAGUUUUCUUGUUUGGAUUUAGAGACUUGUCAACUGACUGGCCCCAAACAUUUGACACAUUCGACACAAGUACCUCAGGCAUAAACAAGUACCUCAGUAUAAUGACCUGCGUCGGUCAACAUACCUUUGUCCUUCCCCCUUUAUUAACUUCAAGGACUGGAUGGACACUAAACUCACACUCUGGAGGCAGCUCUUUCACAGAGGGCUCACGUUUUUGUGUCAAGGUUCCUCUCACAGUUGGACCCAUCCACUGCCUAUAUGCUGAAGGUGUUUGAGAAGAGAUUGGGGCAGCAGGGAAAGAAGCUGAAAGACAUGUCUGCCAUGGUGACGGAUGACAUUGAUGCUGGAUGGGAAUGUGACAUCAAAGGACUCUGCAUCUACCUCAACGAGGAUCCUUAUCAUCUUGUUACAGGAGUAUGUGGAAAUGUCUGAGACCCAUUUCUUCAGUGCUGUGGAGAUGACUGCGGGAGGAUCUUUGUUGUGAAAGACACUGUCAACAGCGAGCCCUCUGCAUCGGAAUAGUCAUUGAGGGUGGUGUGGUGGCACUUUGAGAUCUUGAGAAUGUAGCCACUGCGUCUGCAAUGUUGUUUGGACUCUUUCAUGCUUUAAACAUGCAAUACCCUACAAAGCUCCGCUACCCUUUUGACGUAAUUCAAAAGAUCAUCGUGGAGCUAGAUGCAGGGGAACUGUCAAGAAAGCUUGAAAACUAAGCUCCACCAGUGAAGAGAGCUAAUUGUUCUUGGCUCUUGGUUGGAUUAGGACAUGACUGUUGGCAAACUAAUAGUCUCUACCUCUACAUGCUUGGACUGAGUGGUGUUGCAGCCUGAUUUUGCUAUCACCAAUUAAGUGUUAUUCAAGAUGUACAGUUUUGAUUACUGUACAGUACCAGGCACAUUUAAAUUUAACCAUUGCAUUUUAAUGUGCUAAUAUAUAAUGCAUUGUUCAAAAACCUUGAGCUUCCCAUAGGACAUUUAAUGUGUAUUUUUAUUUAUUUUUAUUGAUGCAGAUGUAUUUUGGAAAAGCUCUGGCAUUUUUGGCCAAACUAAGCUACAUCUAGAAAGAGAGCUCAUUACAGGUGCUGGUCAUAUAAUUAGAAUAUCAUCAAAAAGUUGAUUUAUUUCAGUAAUUCCAU